CCAAAUCAGACUGGCUUGCCCCAGCCAUCACAGGCAAGUAUCUCUUCUAGUAACUCACUCUUAAGCAUGACUAGGGGG
rnacentral:pre_miRNA from 1 species